rnacentral:rRNA from 1 species
ACGUAGGGUGCAAGCGUUAAUCGGAAUUACUGGGCGUAAAGCGUGCGCAGGCGGUUUUGUAAGACAGAGGUGAAAUCCCCGGGCUCAACCUGGGAACUGCCUUUGUGACUGCAAGGCUGGAGUGCGGCAGAGGGGGAUGGAAUUCCGCGUGUAGCAGUGAAAUGCGUAGAGAUCGGGAGGAACAUCCGUGGCGAAGGCGGCCACCUGGGCCAACACUGACACUGAGGCACGAAAGCGUGGGGAGCAAACAGGA